rnacentral:rRNA from 1 species
UACAGAGGGCUCAAGCGUUGUUCGGAUUCAUUGGGCGUAAAGGGUGCGUAGGCGGCUCGGUAAGUCGGGUGUGAAAUCUCGGGGCUUAACUCCGAAACUGCAUUCGAUACUGCCGUGCUUGAGGACUGGAGAGGAGACUGGAAUUUACGGUGUAGCGGUGAAAUGCGUAGAUAUCGUAAGGAAGACCAGUGGCGAAGGCGGGUCUCUGGACAGUUCCUGACGCUGAGGCACGAAGGCCAGGGGAGUAAACGGG